CUGUAAUUUACAUCCCUGCUUAGUGCCUCGGUGAGGAAAGGCGGCCUUUGCUCCAAAUUCUGCUUCUCUUUCCUUUCCUUCUCUUUGGCCAAUCUUCCUAGACCAGGAGAAGUCCUGAGUGAGACUGCCACUGUACUUGCACUCUACCUAACAUGAAGGGCUACAGCCCUGGCUUAAACAUCUGGCUACUGCUGUCACAUGGAUAAUCAUCCAGGACACUUGCACACACCACAGUGCUGAAAUGGUAGCCAUUCCAGAGGUGAGCUUGGGACGUGGCCAAGUGACACAGGCCACAGAACACAUAUAAAGUGAGAUUUUUGCCAAAGGCAAAAGGUCAAGUCAUUUUUGCACCCUUAAGAAGCAGACCUCACUUUCUGCAUUAGAACGUGCCUUACUUUUCCUUUUCUGCCCCACCAACAUCCACACAGAGUUCUCAUUACAUGGUAUUUGGUAUCUGCAGUGUGAAGCCUGACAUUUUCCAGGAGGUUGCAGCACUCCCAAAAAUGUGUUUUCCAUGUUUAACUAGUGACAGAUUUACUGUCUCUCCACCAAAACUUGUGUAAAUUCUUUCCUCAAAGAAGAGCGUUUUUCAUGGAAAAGAGUGUGCCUGGCUGGUGCAUCUGACUAGCUAUUGACAUGAGGGGAGAGAGACAAUAUUUACACUAACCAGUGUGUGAAAGUAGACCAAUGAUGGCAUGAUAACUGUGCUUGUAUUUAUGGAUUCAACAAGUUUGUAAAUAAUUCCAGACCCCCAAACUCUUGGAAGUCCAGAUCAGUCUUGGUCAGCUCAUUCUUCUUGUGCUCAGUAUCCUUUGCCUCAAGUCAAAAGCCCCUGGCUAUGGACAGACACCUUCUUCACAGUCAGAUGUGCAGGGAUAAACUGUGCCACUCUCCAUCUAUACAAACUACUAUGUGUCCAUUAUCACUGCAAGCUUUUCUACUUGUGUUUGGAAAAUGCACCUGCUGAAGCAACCCAGUUCGUGAUUGUGGUGGUUAUAAAGGUUCAAUAUUCCUCCCAAUAAAGGCUCCCCAGCCAUUUUCAGACAUACUGUGGAAUAAAAGAAACAUAUCUCAAUGCCACAGAAGCUUUUCUCCUGCAAUCCAUGUUUUCAUCAUCAGUGAACAUCCUUUGGAUCAAAGAUUGCUGUUUGAUCCCAGGAAAAGGUUAAUGGUGUUGGCAGUGCUUAGGCAGUUGCUCCAAAUGGCCUACCUAGGGGUGCACUACAAAUCAGAUCAGGCAACUGAUCCCUUUUUUUUUUUUUUAAUAAAAACAUAUUUAAUUUUUUAGAGUGCCUUCUUUUUUCUUUCAACAUUUUUUUAAGCUGCUUGCAGCUGCAUCCUCCACCUCCUCAAGCUACAGCCUGAAUUAGCAUCCAUUUAAAUUAAUAAGACAGAUAUCCCAAGUUUUAUAUUUCAUGCUUACAGCCAAGCUGAGCAGAUGUGAUGCAUGUUUACAAAUGCAGAGACAUUUUGGGAGUUGCCUGUUUGAUGUCUGGACUUGUUUUGUACACACUCCUCAUA